CCAUAUGGGCUAGAGUUUAUCUUACUUGGAUAACUGUGGUAAUUCCAGAGCUAAUACAUGCAACUGAUAUCCCGAGGAUUUGUUGGUGGCUUACGCUGCUCGCAUUGUUCCGACGGAUGCUUUUAUUAGACCAAACCGCUGAGUGCGUGUCGUUAACCCGGCACGUAUGACUCGUUUAAUGGUGACUCUGGAUAACCUUAUUGACAAGCGCACGUACCCCUUGCUGGGACGGCGCUGCCGCUUUCGAGUGUCUGACUUAUCAGCUAUCAACCGUUCGUUAUGUGCGACCGAUGGCUUUGACGGGUAACGGGGAAUCAGAGUUCGAUUCCGGAGAGGCAGCCUGAGAAACGGCUACCACGUCCAAGGACGGCAGCAGGCACGCAAAUUACCCAAUCCCAGCUCAUGGGGGAGGUAGUGACGAAAUCUAACGAUGCGGGCGCCCUUUCUGGGGCCCCGCAAUCGGAAUGGGCACUUUCUAAACAACCUGUUGAGAACCUACUGAAGGGCAAGUCUGGUGCCAGCAGCCGCGGUAAUUCCAGCUUCAGUAGCAUCUAUUAAAGUUGCUGCGGUUAAAAGGCUCGCAGUUGAAUGUCAGUAUCGAGCGCUGGUCAGGUGGACGCUGGGGCGUGAGAACUCAAGGCGCCUCUCGUGUGCCUUUUCUGAUUCCCGGCGGCGUGUCUGUGUCUCUGUUUCUCUCUCUAUAAAUGGAUCUGUUAAACGGAGUGUGCGUUGUUGUGGCUCUUCGUCGCUACUUGUUAGCGCGGGUUUGUUCGUAUCUUCGGGCAUUCUCGUGCGCUUGUCUGCGGUGUUGCGGUUGCUCUCGCACGUUGAGCUCCAUCGGUUCUGGUGUCACCUUGAGUAAAUCAGAGUGCUCAAAGCAGUCGUAGGGGCCUUGUGCCCUGUGAACAGUCUUGACGGAUUGACUUGGUUUUGCAUGGCAUGUCGGAAGACGACGUCUAGCGCUGGCUCAGAGAUAUUAUCGGUGGUGAAAGCCAGCCUAGACGUAAUGAUUAACAGGGACUGUCGAGGGCAUUGGUAUUGCGAGGCGAGAGGUGAAAUUCUAUGACCCCCGCAAGACCUCCCGAAGCGAAAGCGUCUGCCAAGGAUGUUUUCAUUAAUCAUGAACGAAAGUUAGAGGAUCGAAGGCGAUCAGAUACCGCCCUAGUUCUAACCCUAAACGAUGCCAACCAUCAAUCCGCGCGUAGCACCCUUCUUAACGGGCUCGGCGGGCAGCUCCUCAUUCUCGGGAAACCAGAGUCUCUGGGUUCCGGGGGGAGUCUGGUUGCAAAGCUGAAACUUAAAGGAAUUGACGGAAAGGCACCACCAGGCGUGGAGCCUGCGGCUUAAUUUGACUCAACACGGGCCAUCUCACCAGGCUGCUAACUAGUCGGUUGGAUCUUGAUAUUUGUAUCGGUUGAGUCGUGUACCGAGAUCACCCGCUGUGUUGCGCGUGCGAUUUUCUCGUGAUGGCUGUAGUCCGUGCUUCUCAAUAUACCUUGUGCGUCGGCCGUGUGUGAUGGCGAUGGCGUACCAUACACGUGGUGUGUCGUUGUUGUUGCGCGCGCCGGUGUUGCUCGGGUGAGAGUUGUGCGUGUGCUGCACUGUUGCGGGGGCCACGCGUGAUCUUCGGGCCUCGGACCACACACUCCAAGUCCGCCGCUCAUGCUUAAAACUCUUCUUAGAGGGAUUCACGGUUCUGAAGCCGUAAGAGACUGAGAGCAAUAACAGGUCUGUGAUGCCCUUAGAUGUUCUGGGCCGCACGCGCGCUACAAUGCCGGGCACAGCAGGUGUUCUUCCUACUCCGACAGGAGCGGGUAACCCUGUGAAAGCCCUUUGUCAUGGAUUACUUGUUGGUGUAGUUAACGCUACCCAACGUCUGGCGUGAUUGGGCCUGGGUCUUGCAAUUCUUUCCCACAAACGAGGAAUGCCUUGUAGCGGCGGGUCACUGAGCCCGCCGUGACUCAGUCCCUGCCCUUUGUACACACCGCCCGUCGCUACUACCGAUUGGGUGUACCAGUGAGAGCCUUGGACUGGCGUCCGCUGCC
rnacentral:rRNA from 1 species